UACGAGGGGUGCAAGCGUUAAUCGGAAUUACUGGGCGUAAAGGGUGCGCAGGCGGUCUCGUAAGCUGGGUGUGAAAGCCCCGGGCUUAACCUGGGAAUGGCAUUCAGGACUGCGAGGCUUUGAGUGUGGCAGAGGGAGGUGGAAUUCCACGUGUAGCAGUGAAAUGCGUAGAGAUGUGGAGGAACACCGAUGGCGAAGGCAGCCUCCUGGGCCAGCACUGACGCUCAUGCACGAAAGCUAGGGGAGCAAACGGG
rnacentral:rRNA from 1 species